UAUAUACUUUGUGAGGUCUGCCACGUCUCCUUACAUUCUUAGUUAACUAGUAAAGGAUUUUCCCCUUUAGCCUUUUACCCACAAGUUCAGCGUGAUUAUAAAUUGAGGAUGUAUCCGCUUGGACUACAAACAAAAAACAAACGAAAAAGCUCUCAAAAUGAAGAUUCAGAUGUCUUUGCUGGUUAUGGCUAUUGUGGCAGUUGUAGGCACCGUUCACGGACGUAGAAAGUAGAAGCCCAAUUACAAAUUUGUUCUGAAUGUCGAAUACAGAAAAACUUAUGAAUUGUA